UGGGGAAUAUUGGGCAAUGGGGGAAACCCUGACCCAGCAACGCCGCGUGAAGGAAGUGACGGCUAACUACGUGCCAGCAGCCGCGGUAAAACGUAGGUCACAAGCGUUGUCCGGAAUUACUGGGUGUAAAGGGAGCGCAGGCGGGAGAACAAGUUGGAAGUGAAAUCCAUGGGCUCAACCCAUGAACUGCUUUCAAAACUGUUUUUCUUGAGUAGUGCAGAGGUAGGCGGAAUUCCCGGUGUAGCGGUGGAAUGCGUAGAUAUCGGGAGGAACACCAGUGGCGAAGGCGGCCUACUGGGCACCAACUGACGCUGAGGCUCGAAGGUGUGGGUAGCAAACAGGAUUAGAUACCCUGGUAGU
rnacentral:rRNA from 1 species